rnacentral:rRNA from 1 species
CCUACGGGAGGCAGCAGUGGGGGAUAUUGCACAAUGGGGGAACCCUGAUGCAGCGACGCUGCGUGGGAGAAGAAGCGCCUCGGCGCGUAAAGCCCUGUCAGCAGGGAAGAAAAUGACGGUACCUUAAGAAGAAUCCUCGGCUAACUACGUGCCAGCAGCCGCGGUAAUCCGUAGGGGGCAAGCGGUAUCCGGAUUUACUGGGUGUAAGGGGGGCGCAGACGGCGAUGCAAGCGAGGAGUGAAAGCUCGGGGCCCAACCCCGGGACUGCUCUUCGAACUGCGUGGCUUGAGUGCAGGAAGGGCAGGCGGAAUUCCUGGUGUAGCGGUGAAAUGCGUAGAUAUCAGGAGGAACGCCGGUGGCGAAGGCGGCAUGCUGCACUGCAACUGACGUUGAGGCCCGAAGGCGUGGGGAGCGAACAGGAUUAGAUACCCGUGUAGUC